AACGAACGCUGGCGGCAUGCCUAACACAUGCAAGUCGAACGAAACCUUCGGGCUUAGUGGCGCACGGGUGCGUAACGCGUGGGAACCUGCCCUUAGGUUCGGAAUAACUCCCCGAAAGGGGUGCUAAUACCGGAUAAUGUCUUCGGACCAAAGAUUUAUCGCCUUUGGAUGGGCCCGCGUUGGCUUGGCUAGUUGGUAGGGUAAAAGCCUACCAAGGCGACGAUCCAUAGCUGGUCUGAGAGGAUGAUCAGCCACACUGGGCCUGAGACACGGCCCAGACUCCUAGGGAAGGGAGCAGUGGGGAAUAUUGGACAGUGGGGGAAAGCCUGAUCCAGCAAUGCCGCGUAAGUGAUGAAGGCCGUAGGGUUGUAAAGCUCUUUUACCCGGGAUGAUAAUGACAGUACCGGGAGAAUAAGCUCCGGCUAACUCCGUG
rnacentral:rRNA from 1 species